rnacentral:rRNA from 1 species
AACGCGAAGAACCUUACCAGGGUUUGACAUGCCUCUGACAUCCUCAGAGAUGAGGCUCCCUUCGGGGCAGAGGCACAGGUGCUGCAUGGCUGUCGUCAGCUCGUGUCGUGAGAUGUUGGGUUAAGUCCCGCAACGAGCGCAACCCUCGUCCUAUGUUGCCAGCGGGUAAUGCCGGGGACUCAUAGGAGACUGCCGGGGUCAACUCGGAGGAAGGUGGGGAUGACGUCAAGUCCUCAUGCCCCUUAUGUCUUGGGCUGCAAACAUGCUACAAUGGCCAGUACAAAGGGUUGCGAGACCGCAAGGUGGAGCGAAUCCCAAAAAGCUGGUCUCAGUUCGGAUUGGGGUCUGCAACUCGACCCCAUGAAGUCGGAGUCGCUAGUAAUCGCAGAUCAGCAACGCUGCGGUGAAUACGUUCCCGGGCCUUGUACACACCGGUACUA